rnacentral:tRNA from 1 species
GUGGUAGCUCAGUGGUAGAUCACUUGCCUUGUGUGCCUGAGGCACUGGGUUCGAAACUCGGUACCACA